rnacentral:rRNA from 1 species
UGGGGAAUUUUGGACAAUGGGCGAAAGCCUGAUCCAGCAAUGCCGCGUGUGUGAAGAAGGCCUUCGGGUUGUAAAGCACUUUUGUCCGGAAAGAAAUCCUUGGCUCUAAUACAGUCGGGGGAUGACGGUACCGGAAGAAUAAGCACCGGCUAACUACGUGCCAGCAGCCGCGGUAAUACGUAGGGUGCAAGCGUUAAUCGGAAUUACUGGGCGUAAAGCGUGCGCAGGCGGUUUGCUAAGACCGAUGUGAAAUCCCCGGGCUCAACCUGGGAACUGCAUUGGUGACUGGCAGGCUAGAGUAUGGCAGAGGGGGGUAGAAUUCCACGUGUAGCAGUGAAAUGCGUAGAGAUGUGGAGGAAUACCGAUGGCGAAGGCAGCCCCCUGGGCCAAAUACUGACGCUCAUGCACGAAAGCGUGGGGAGCAAACAGGAUUAGAUACCCUGGUAGUCCACGCCCUAAACGAUGUCAACUAGUUGUUGGGGAUUCAUUUCCUUAGUAACGUAGCUAACGCGUGAAGUUGACCGCCUGGGGAGUACGGUCGCAAGAUUAAAACUUAAAUGAAUUGACGGGGU